rnacentral:sRNA from 1 species
AGUGAGUGUUAUCUAUCUGUGAUCAAGUAGAUAUUAUGAAGUAAGUGUAUUUUUAAAACUAUUUUUUAGUUGCUGGUUGAUUCUGAGUACACAUUUAGUGUACAAAUCUUUGUUGCUACAUUUUUAACCAAAGUGAACAAAUAUACACAAAACACCGAAUUACAAUGGUGGCAAUUUUCAGAUUGCAGAUACUUCUUUUGUUAGAUAGAAAAUAGAUGGUACAAAUAUAAAAGCCUAGAAAACUAACACAUUCCUACCAAUAUUCAUUGGCACUUCAAGAAGAUCAUAAAUAUUGAAUAUCAGUAUACUGUUCCAUGUACAUCAAGGAUAAACUCUUGCAACUACAAUACAUUAUAUAUGAGGCAGCUACAGCGAAGUAAAACAUCUUUCUAUAAUUCAUUUCCAAAAUGCAUAUAGAAAAAUAAAGAUAUCCAUGCUAAGUACAGACUGUGGCAACUGACACCUCACGUAAUGCUAUCUGUUCAGUGUGUACCUCCGGCAUGAUUUGAUAAAUAGAUGCAAAUGUUCGUGUAUGUGGUUUUGCAGUCUGAAGAAAUGAAUCUGUUCAAGACUCAGAUGUAGCUGUUUGAUAAUUUGUCUGAUUUAAGCAUGAACAUCAUCCAAAUUAUAAUGGAACAAAUCAUGAGAAAAUGUCUAGUUUGCUUUGUUGUCGAUUUUGUUGGGAAAAAAUCUAUGCACUUUUAAUUAAGAAUAUAUAAUGUUCAAUGUCAUUUUUUUUUCACCAUAAUCACUUGAGACUUCAAAAUAAAAAUGGAAGUAGACAUGC